rnacentral:rRNA from 1 species
GUCGACACAGGUUCGUUGGUAGAGGGUUCUUAGGUGUAGAGAUAAUAGGGGUAAAGGAACUCGGCAAGUUGUCUUCAUGGCUUAGUAGCGCUGAAGAUCCAAUUUUAGGGUUUUUUCUUAGGUAAGGGGGUUAAAGGGUGGCGCAGAAUCGGAGGCCCCGACUGUUUACUUAAAACACAGACAUUUGCAAGGAUUAAUUUGGGGGUAUAGGUGUUGAAUUUUGCCCGAUGCCAUUAAUAUAAGGUUAAUAGGCGCUGGGCAUCUUUAUUUUCGAAGCCCCGGGUCACGGCCGCUGUUAUCAUAACGAUCCUAAGGUAGCAAAAUUCCUUGUCCGGUAAGUUCCGACCCGCACGAAAGGCGUAACGAUCUGGGCACUGUCUCGGAGAGAGGCUCGGUGAAAUAGACAUGUCUGGAAGAUGCUGCGCCUGCGUUCC